rnacentral:rRNA from 1 species
AGAAUCAACGCUGGCGGCGUGCCUAACACAUGCAAGUCGCACGAGAAAGGGUAGCAAUACCUGAGUACAGUGGCGCACGGGUGAGUAACACGUGAAUAAUCUACCUCCGAGUGGGGAAUAACUGAGAGAAAUCUUAGCUAAUACCGCAUAAUACCCACGGGUCAAAGCAGCAAUGCGCUUGGAGAGGAGUUCGCGGCAGAUUAGUUAGUUGGCGGGGUAAUGGCCCACCAAGACGAUGAUCUGUAUCCGGCCUGAGAGGGCGCACGGACACACUGGAACUGAAACACGGUCCAGACUCCUACGGGAGGCAGCAGUGGGGAAUUUUGCGCAACGGGGGAAACCCUGACGCAGCAACGCCGCGUGGAGGAUGAAGCCCCUGGGGUGUAAACUCCUUUCGAUCGGGAAGAUAAUGACGGUACCGAUAUAAGAAGCCCGGCUAACUUCGCGCCAGCAGCCGC